rnacentral:rRNA from 1 species
UACGUAGGCAGCGAGCGUUGUUCGGAGUUACUGGGCGUAAAGGUGUGUAGGCGGUUGUUUAAGUUUGGUGUGAAAUCUCCCGGCUCAACUGGGAGGUGCGCCGAAUACUGAAUGACUAGAGUGCGGGAGAGGAAAGUGGAAUUCCUGGUGUAGCGGUGAAAUGCGUAGAUAUCAGGAGGAACACCGGUGGUGUAGACGGCUUUCUGGACCGUAACUGACGCUGAGACACGAAAGCGUGGUAGCAAACAGG